AACGAACGCUGGCGGCAUGCCUAACACAUGCAAGUCGAACGAAGCCUUCGGGCUUAGUGGCGCACGGGUGCGUAACACGUGGGAAUCUGCCCUUCGGUUCGGAAUAACAGUUAGAAAUGACUGCUAAUACCGGAUGAUGACGUAAGUCCAAAGAUUUAUCGCCGAAGGAUGAGCCCGCGUAGGAUUAGGUAGUUGGUAGGGUAAUGGCCUACCAAGCCGACGAUCCUUAGCUGGUCUGAGAGGAUGAUCAGCCACACUGGGACUGAGACACGGCCCAGACUCCUACGGGAGGCAGCAGUGGGGAAUAUUGGACAAUGGGCGAAAGCCUGAUCCAGCAAUGCCGCGUGAGUGAUGAAGGCCUUAGGGCUGUAAAGCUCUUUUACCAGGGAUGAUAAUGACAGUACCUGGAGAUAAGCUCGGCCAACUCCGUGCCAGCAGCCGCGGUAAU
rnacentral:rRNA from 1 species